rnacentral:rRNA from 1 species
AUUGAACGCUGGCGGCAUGCCUUACACAUGCAAGUCGAACGGCAGCACGGGAGCAAUCCUGGUGGCGAGUGGCGAACGGGUGAGUAAUAUAUCGGAACGUGCCCAGUCGUGGGGGAUGACGUAGCGAAAGCUACGCUAAUACCGCAUACGAUCUAUGGAUGAAAGCGGGGGAUCGCAAGACCUCGCCCGAUUGGAGCGGCCGAUAUCAGAUUAGGUAGUUGGUGAGGUAAAGGCUCACCAAGCCGACGAUCUGUAGCUGGUCUGAGAGGACGACCAGCCACACUGGGACUGAGACACGGCCCAGACUCCUACGGGAGGCAGCAGUGGGGAAUUUUGGACAAUGGGCGCAAGCCUGAUCCAGCAAUGCCGCGUGCAGGAUGAAGGCCUUCGGGUUGUAAACUGCUUUUGUACGGAGCGAAAAGGCUUCCACUAAUACUGGGGGCUCAUGACGGUACCGUAAGAAUAAGCACCGGCUAACUACGUGCCAGCCGCCGCCGUAAAAC